AUAUUUCCUUCUUUCCUGUUCCUCACCCUGAUCACGCUUGAUUUAUUGAUGGCGGUUCCACCAGGCCUAAUCGACACACACCAGCAAAGGCAGUGCUAUCCCCAAACUGCCACUCUUAACUCUUGAAGUAAAUAAGUAAUUUUUGCUGGCAGGACUAUGCUGAAUCUCCUUAGGCACACUCUAAUGAGAUAUCCUGAGUCGUCCCAAUUCUUAGACCUUUUAUACCCGUUUUUCUCCUUCUGUUAUUCCAUUUAGUUUCUCAAUUCAUCCAAAACCGUAUCCAGGCCAUCACCAAUCAUUCUAUAUGACAAAUGUUUCUUCUAACAUCCCCACAAUAUCACCCCUUAUCACAAGACCUCCCUUCAGCUUAAUCUCUCCCACUCUAGGUUCCCACGCCACCCCUAAUCCCGCUUGAAGCAGCCCUGAGAAACAUCGCCCAUUCUCUCUCCAUACCACCCCCCAAAAAUUUUCGCCGCCCCAACAUUUCAACACUAUUUUGUUUUAUUUUUCUUAUUAAUAUAAGAAAGCAGGAAUGUCAGGCAUCUGAGCCCAAGCCAAGCCAUCGCAUCCCCUGUGACUUGCACGUAUAUGCCCAGAUGGCCUGAAGUAACUGAAGAAUCACAAAAGUAGUGAAUAUGCCCUACCCCACCUUAAAUGAUGACAUUCCACCACAAAAGAAGCGUAAAUGGCCGGUCCUUGCCUUAAGUGAUGACAUUACUUUGUGAAAGUCCUUUUCCUGGCUCAUCCUGGCUCAAAAACACCCCCACUGAGCACCUUGCGACCCCCCACACCAGCCUACGAGAGAACAAACCCCCUUUGACUGUAAUUUUCCUUUACCUACCCAAAUCCUAUAAAACGGCCCCACCUUAUCUCCCUUCACUGACUCUCUUUUCGGACUCAGCCCACCUGCACCCAUGUGAAAUAAACAGCCAUGUUGCUCACACAAAGC
rnacentral:lncRNA from 1 species